AAAUUGAAGAGUUUGAUCAUGGCUCAGAUUGAACGCUGGCGGCAGGCCUAACACAUGCAAGUCGAACGGUAACAGGAAGCAGCUUGCUGCUUCGCUGACGAGUGGCGGACGGGUGAGUAAUGUCUGGGAAACUGCCUGAUGGAGGGGGAUAACUACUGGAAACGGUGGCUAAUACCGCAUAACGUCGCAAGACCAAAGAGGGGGACCUUCGGGCCUCUUGCCAUCAGAUGUGCCCAGAUGGGAUUAGCUUGUUGGUGAGGUAACGGCUCACCAAGGCGACGAUCCCUAGCUGGUCUGAGAGGAUGGCCAGCCACACUGGAACUGAGACACGGUCCAGACUCCUACGGGAGGCAGCAGUGGGGAAUAUUGCACAAUGGGCGCAAGCCUGAUGCAGCCAUGCCGCGUGUAUGAAGAAGGCCUUCGGGUUGUAAAGUACUUUCAGCGGGGAGGAAGGUGUUGUGGUUAAUAACCGCAGCAAUUGACGUUACCCGCAGAAGAAGCACCGGCUAACUCCGUGCCAGCAGCCGCGGUAAUACGGAGGGUGCAAGCGUUAAUCGGAAUUACUGGGCGUAAAGCGCACGCAGGCGGUCUGUCAAGUCGGAUGUGAAAUCCCCGGGCUCAACCUGGGAACUGCAUUCGAAACUGGCAGGCUUGAGUCUUGUAGAGGGGGGUAGAAUUCC
rnacentral:rRNA from 1 species